CCCAUCCAUUUAUAUACAGAGAGAGCCAUUUGCAAGAGAGAUUUGAGCGAGAGAGAGAGAGAUGGGGGAUUUCUUUAGUGGAAACCUUCAUUGAAAAGAAUUUCAGGGAAGUAGUUACUAAAGCACAUAGAUGGCGAUCAAAUGCAUUCCAUGAAAGUACAUUUGAUAAAGCAUCUUUGUUCAAACUACUUGAGCUGAAAGGCCGAACAGGUU